rnacentral:lncRNA from 1 species
ACCGCACACAUUUAUAUAUGUAAAUUAUUUUAACAGCAUAUAUGAUAGUAUAUACUAUAAUUAUAAAGGCACGUAAAUACACAGUUAUGAGUAUAGGUUCUUUUUUUGUAACUGUGCAUAGGUUCUUCAUAUAUUUAUUUUGUAAACAUGUUAACCUUAGUAUAUAAACUGAAAUAAAAAAUACUCAAUUAUAACAUCAUAUUAUCUGAAAUGAAGUAUAAAAUUAUUAGAAAAUAUAUUUUACUGCAUGAUAUAUGAUUUGUUUUAUAAAGAAUUAAUAUUUCUCUUUUUUGUAUUUUUAUUUCAAAAGUAUUUUAGUAAUCAAAUUUAAUUAUUGAAUAAUCAUUCAAUACCGUAAAUAUGCAUUGUCACCAAUCAAACAC